AUCCUGGCUCAGGAUAAACGCUGGCGGCGUGCUUAACACAUGCAAGUCGAACGGAGUGGUUCUCCCGAGGAUUGAUGGUGCUUGCACCUGAUUGACUCAUUGAAUCACUUAGUGGCGGACGGGUGAGUAACGCGUGGGAAACCUGCCCUAUACUGGGGAUAGCAGUUGGAAACGACUGAUAAUACCGCAUAAGCGCACAGGAUCGCAUGGUCUAGUGUGAAAAACUCCGGUGGUAUAGGAUGGUCCCGCGUCUGAUUAGCUAGUUGGUGAGGUAACGGCCCACCAAGGCGACGAUCAGUAGCCGGCCUGAGAGGGUGUACGGCCACAUUGGGACUGAGACACGGCCCAAACUCCUACGGGAGGCAGCAGUGGGGAAUAUUGGACAAUGGGGGAAACCCUGAUCCAAGCGACGUCGCGUGAACGAUGAAGUAUUUCGGUAUGUAAAGUUCUAUCAGCAGGGAAGAUAAUGACGGUACCUGACUAAGAAGCACCGGCUAAAUACGUGCCAGCCGCUGC
rnacentral:rRNA from 1 species